rnacentral:rRNA from 1 species
AGAGGUUACUGCUAUCGGUGUUCGCCUAAGCCAUGCGAGUCAUAUGUUCUUCGUGAACAUGGCGUACUGCUCAGUAACACGUGGAUAACCUGCCCUUGGGUCUGGCAUAACCCCGGGAAACUGGGGAUAAUUCCGGAUAACGCAUAUAUGCUGGAAUGCUUUAUGCGUAAAAUGGAUUCGUCCGCCCAAGGAUGGG